GACGAACGCUGGCGGCAGGCCUAACACAUGCAAGUCGAGCGGACCUUUCGGGGUCAGCGGCGGACGGGUGAGUAACGCGUGGGAAUAUGCCCUUCUCUACGGAAUAGUCCUGGGAAACUGGGGGUAAUACCGUAUACGCCCUUUGGGGGAAAGAUUUAUCGGGGAAGGAUUAGCCCGCGUUGGAUUAGGUAGUUGGUGGGGUAAUGGCCUACCAAGCCGACGAUCCAUAGCUGGUUUGAGAGGAUGAUCAGCCACACUGGGACUGAGACACGGCCCAGACUCCUACGGGAGGCAGCAGUGGGGAAUCUUAGACAAUGGGGGCAACCCUGAUCUAGCCAUGCCGCGUGAGUGAUGAAGGCCUUAGGGUUGUAAAGCUCUUUCAGCUGGGAAGAUAAUGACGGGACCAGCAGAAGAAGCCCCGGCUAACUCCGU
rnacentral:rRNA from 1 species